UGCUUAAAAACAACUGUAAACAGCAGCAAGAGAGGAUUAAUUAGUUUAAUUCAGUCAAGUUGUCUCCUUGGAUACCAUUCAAGUGACUUCCACCAUUGUUCAUGUGAAGUAACCAGGAAUAUGAGCAUCAGAGUAGUAAAUACCUGUGGUCCAGGUUUUAUUUUAAAGCAGAGAAACAUCAUUUCAUAAAACUUCAUUUAAGUCCCAUGCUCCAAACCUUCAUGACUCUCAUUUUUCAGAGAAAGGGAGAAUAAUGGGAUUGGAGUCAGCCCAUCUGCAUAAACUAUUUACCCAGAACUCCUGAUGGGGUAAAACCACAGAGAAGUGCUCUCUGCUCUUUGUUAUUGGCACACAGAGAAAGUCAGCCCUCAGAAAGCUUCAGCUGCAUCAACUUUCAUCUCAGCACUUCCCUACUGAUGCUUUUGAGCCAUCAUAACAGGAAGAACCAGAAGGACUCCAAACAAAGUGAAGGUUCUUCCAGAAGCUGAAGAGCAUGAGAGGAAUUUUGGGUUAGCUCCAAGAGAGCCUCUUUUGUCACAGAACCAAGCAGAGCUGAAACAAUCAUCGCUGGCUGAACUGAAGGACGGGGUUGGGCAGUGUUCCCAAGAGGCUGAAGCCUCUCUGCAAGCCCUCUUGGAUGGUGCUGCACAAUAAAAACUAUGCACCAGGCAGAGAGGUGGUAGCUAACAGCAUGCAUGCCUCCUGCAGGCUCUUUUUGAAAGAACCAGGAAGAGUGUCUACAGUUUUCUCUCAUUUAAGGCAAAUGCAGGCUGAUGGCUGUGGCCUGAAGGGAAGAGCUGCCUUCCUGCCAGAAGAGGAGAACUGUUAAUAUCUGGCAACAGGAGAGAGGCAAAGGGAUGGCUCUGAGACACAGUUUGCUGCUGGUGUACAAGAUUAACUGCUGUGAACGUUCCAAACUGCAUAUCCACGUCCUGCUCCCUGUGAGAAGCAGAGAAAUGCCACACAUUUUCAGUUGUCAUCUGAGAGGGAUCCUACACGCUGGCUCUGGGAAGUAAACUGCCUUUGGUUAGAACAGCUUGGGUCUGGACUCAAAUGGAUGCUUUACAGAGCAGAGGUAUCCAAAGACAGUGAGCAUUUCAGAGUCACGUCUUCUCACAUCUGCUAUGCCUCAUGUGAUAACAAGUAUGGUUGUGAAGGAAGUAAUUUUGCCUUUCCUUUUUCUUUGCUGCUGCUGUUUUAAGUAUUCUUCCAGGAAAGAGAGGCCCAACAGAGAAG